CAAUGCUGUGUAAUAUGUUGACGAUAUAAAUAAUUGUAAUUGUAUGAAUCACUGGAAUGUGUUGCAAGCAAGAGACUCCAAAAUCUCCCAUAGACUGUCCACAUGUAGGAGUGUUCCAAGAUGGAGGAACCAAGUACUGAUGACAAUAAACCCUUAGUAUAUUAUCAUUCACUGGCGGGGUACUAGGGGACAGUCCCCGCUGCUCUAGCAUGGAGAUGAUUAGAUCUGCGUCUGAGGGAAUGUAGAUUUAUUCCCGUGCUCCCUUUUACACACACUGCUGCUGUAGAAAGGUACGAUCUGAUGUCGUUUCUCGAACAUCCAUUGCUCUGUGUUAAAGCAUGUGGAGAUAGAAUGAGGAUGUAAGAGCUGUAUUGUUUGGAUCACAUAUCACAUGCUCCACCAGCAAGACAACAAAGGAGAAAAAUAGGGCUGCAUGAAGUACAGAGCUCCUGUUUACAAUGGCACUUUAGAUCUUUUUGUAUGAAAACUGCACAGCAUUUGAUGCCGCUUAUACAUCUGUCCAUCAGACUGCCUCUGCAUAUCAGAACCAUGCCACUUGUUACAAACCAUUAAACAUAGUCUGUUUAUAUUUUAACAUGACCGCACAUAUCAUAAUGCAGGUUUUUUUUACAUCCAUUCAAUCUUUACCAUGUGGUGGCAGAUUUAUUUAUAACAUUAACAAAGUGCAUUGAAAUGGCCUGAUUGUGAAAACUGUCAUUGAAGUAGAUAUUAUUAUGAUGUAAAUGAGGAUAUAAUCGAACAUCUGCUAAUUGAAAAAGUGAGGUACAGGGUUAUGCUAAAGAAAGCUGCAAAAAUUAAUGUUUUUUUAAAGCUAAAUGAAGGGCACAGAAUAAAUAUGAGGCCAAAAGUUAUGGCUCGAGUGUCCUAUUAAGUGGCAAUAAUUUUGCAAAAGAAAGUAAAUGCACAAACGAUUAUGCAGACUGGCUCACUAUGGCUAUCACACCAUAUAGAGGAGCAAUAUAGCAUCCAAAGGGUUUGAGAGCUGCAUUUAGCAUGAUGCUAAGACAGGCAUUAUUUCAGUUCACCAAUCAAA